UUUAAAAAUUUUUUCUUUUCCAAAAUGCCACUCCAUAUUAAUAUAAGUUCAAUCAUAUACUAACAAUAUCAUUCAUUCAAUUUUAAUAGGUAUAAUAUCACGCCCCGGAUUACUCGUUUCCCCGGGCACGCUAACAGACCCGCCGUAUACAUAGGAAUUUUCCCUGUAUACGAAGCGAAACAGUAACAGUAUCUAUAAUCAUACAAUACUACAAACAGUAGUAUAGAGCUGCUAGGAACUAAACCAAAUAAAAAAAAAUAGUGGUUCAAUA
rnacentral:lncRNA from 1 species